UGAACGUUGGCGGCGUGGAUUAGGCAUGCAAGUCGUGCGACAAGCCCCCUUCGGGGGGUGGAGGAGCGGCGAAAGGGAGAGUAAUGCGUGGAUACCUACCCCCGGGUCUGGGAUAGCCGCGGGAAACUGCGGGUAAUACCGGAUAACGUCUCCGGACCAAAGGUGUGAUUCCGCCUGAGGAGGGGUCCACGUCCUAUUAGCUUGUUGGUGGGGUAAUGGCCUACCAAGGCAAUGAUGGGUACCGGGCGUGAGAGCGUGGCCCGGCUCACUGGGACUGAGACACUGCCCAGACACCUACGGGUGGCUGCAGUCGAGAAUCUUCGGCAAUGGGCGCAAGCCUGACCGAGCGACGCCGCGUGCGGGAUGAAGGCCUUCGGGUUGUAAACCGCUGUCAGAGGGGAGGAAAUGCUGGUGGGUUCUCCCUCCAGUUUGACCUAUCCUCAGAGGAAGUACGGGCUAAGUUC
rnacentral:rRNA from 1 species